rnacentral:lncRNA from 1 species
GUAUGUUCAUGAGUGUGACUAACAUGUAUAAGCAUGUAUAUGCAAUCAACAGAAUGUCCAUGAUGUAGAUAGUAAAAUGUCAUUGUUUACUAUUCUAGUCAAAGUCCAACUGGCAUGUUCUGUCACUAAGUUCCAAUCAUGUAAGACCCACCCGUAGGCUGUCUGGCCUGCGCCGUGCCUAAUGGCCCCGUGGUAGUCAACAUCCCCACUCUAGGAAUGAGCCUCCCCCACGGCAUCCUAUUUCGGCGCCCAAUCCCGCACGAGCGAGCAUAUGUCGCGAUGGCUAUCUCUGAAGUGCCGGCUUGUAGGGAGCGACCCUCACAGGCAUGUGCAAAUGAGCACAAUGACAAGCAAGCGAAAGAUCUGUCUCAAGUACCAAGUCCUCAUGUCUAAAAA